rnacentral:rRNA from 1 species
GAAUAUUGGGCAAUGGGCGAGAGCCUGACCCAGCCAUGCCGCGUGCAGGAAGACGGCCUAUUGGGUUGUAAACUGCUUUUAUCUGGGAAGAAAAGGCCCGUGCGCGGGACAUUGCCGGUACCAGAGGAAUAAGCACCGGCCAACUCCGUGCCAGCAGCCGCGGUAAUACGGAGGGUGCAAGCGUUGUCCGGAUUUAUUGGGUUUAAAGGGUGCGUAGGCGGCUGUUUAAGUCAGUGGUGAAAGACUCCGGCUCAACCAGAGCAGUGCCAUUGAUACUGGACAGCUUGAGUAUUGGAGGGGUACAUGGAAUUGAUGGUGUAGCGGUGAAAUGCAUAGAUACCAUCAGGAACACCGAUAGCGAAGGCAUUGUACUGGCCAAUAACUGACGCUGAUGCACGAAAGCAUGGGUAGCGAACAGG